rnacentral:rRNA from 1 species
GCCGGUCUAAGUUCCUUGGAACAGGACGUCGUAGAGGGUGAGAAUCCCGUAUGCGACCGGCGAUCAAGUCUGUGUGAAGCCCCUUCGACGAGUCGAGUUGUUUGGGAAUGCAGCUCAAAAUGGGUGGUAAAUUUCAUCUAAAGCUAAAUAUUGGCCAGAGACCGAUAGCGGACAAGUAGAGUGAUCGAAAGAUGAAAAGCACUUUGGAAAGAGAGUCAAACAGUACGUGAAAUUGUUGAAAGGGAAGCGCUUGCAAUCAGACCGGUCCGGAGGCGAUCAGCCGCUGCUCGUCAGCGGUGCACUCGCCUGCGAUCCGGCCAGCAUCGGUUUGGGCGGUGGGAUAAAAGUCCCGGGAAUGUAGCUUCUUUCGGGGAGUCUUAUAGCCCGGGUCGCAAUGCCGCCCGCUCGGACCGAGGACCGCGCUUCGGCUAGGAUGCUGGCGUAAUGGUUGCAAGCGACCCGUCUUGAAACACGGACCAAGGAGUCUAACAUCUAUGCGAGUGUUUGGGUGUCAAACCCAGGCGCGGAAUGAAAGUGAACGGAGGUGGGAACCCGUCAGACGGCGCACCAUCGACCGAUCCAGAUGUCUUCGGAUGGAUUUGAGUAUGAGCAUAGCUGUUGGGACCCGAAAGAUGGUGAACUAUGCCCGGAUAGGGUGAAGCCAGAGGAAACUCUGGUGGAGGCUCGCAGCGGUUCUGACGUGCAAAUCGAUCGUCAAAUCUAGGCAUAGGGGCGAAAGACCAAUC